CAGUCGACGGUCGGCACUGGAAGGUUCGCUGGAAGGUGCCGGUAGUGGCGGACGGGUGAGUAACGCGUGAGGACAUGGCUCCAGGAGGGGGAUAACGUUUGGAAACGGACGCUAAGACCCCAUAUGCCGGAAGGUGAAAAUGGCGUAAGCCAGCCUGGAGAGUGACUCGCGUCCUAUCAGCUAGUUGGUGGGGUGAAGGCCUACCAAGGCGAUGACGGGUAGCCGACCUGAGAGGGUGGCCGGCCACACUGGAACUGAGAUACGGUCCAGACUCCUACGGGAGGCAGCAGUGGGGAAUAUUGGGCAAUGGGCGAAAGCCUGACCCAGCGACGCCGCGUGGGGGAAGAAGUCUUUCGGGAUGUAAACCCUUGUUGUACGGGACGAAAACAAUGACGGUACCGUACGAGGAAGCCCCGGCAAACUACGUGCCAGCAGCCGCGGUAAUACGUAGGGGGCGAGCGUUGUCCGGAAUUACUGGGCGUAAAGCGCACGUAGGCGGGCUGUUAAGUCGGCCGUGAAAGGCACUGGCUCAACCGGUGUUUGUCGGUCGAUACUGGCGGUCUGGAGUAUGGGAGAGGGAACUGGAAUUCCCGGUGUAGCGGUGAAAUGCGUAGAUAUCGGGAGGAACACCAGUGGCGAAGGCGGGUUCCUGGCCCAUUACUGACGCUGAGGUGCGAAAGCCGGGGGAGCGAACGGGAUUAGAUACCCCGGUAGUCCCGGCUGUAAACGAUGGAUGCUAGGUGUGGGGGGGGUUCCCCUCUGUGCCGCAGCUAACGCGAUAAGCAUCCCGCCUGGGGAGUACGAUCGCAAGAUUGAAACUCAAAGGAAUUGACGGGGGCCCGCACAAGCGGUGGAGCACGUGGUUUAAUUCGAUGCAAACCGAAGAACCUUACCUGGGUUUGACAUGCACGUGGUACGGAGAUGAAAGUCAAAGGACCCCUGUAAAAUACGGGGAGCGUGCACAGGUGCUGCAUGGCUGUCGUCAGCUCGUGUCCUGAGAUGUUGGGUUAAGCCCCGCAACGAAGCGCACCCCUGCA
rnacentral:rRNA from 1 species